GAUGAACGCUGGCGGCGUGCCUAAUACAUACAAGUCGAGCGAACAGACGAGGAGCUUGCUCCUCUGACGUUAGCGGCGGACGGGUGAGUAACACGUGGAUAACCUACCUAUAAGACUGGGAUAACUUCGGGAAACCGGAGCUAAUACCGGAUAACAUGUUGAACCGCAUGGUUCAACAGUGAAAGACGGUCUUGCUGUCACUUAUAGAUGGAUCCGCGCCGCAUUAGCUAGUUGGUAAGGUAACGGCUUACCAAGGCAACGAUGCGUAGCCGACCUGAGAGGGUGAUCGGCCACACUGGAACUGAGACACGGUCCAGACUCCUACGGGGGGCAGCAGUAGGGAAUCUUCCGCAAUGGGCGAAAGCCUGACGGAGCAACGCCGCGUGAGUGAAGAAGGUCUUCGGAUCGUAAAACUCUGUUAUUAGGGAAGAACAAAUGUGUAAGUAACUAUGCACGUCUUGACGGUACCUAAUCAGAAAGCCACGGCUAACUACGUG
rnacentral:rRNA from 1 species